UGCGAAGGGUGCUAGCGUUGUUCGGAAUUACUGGGCGUAAAGGGCGCGUAGGCGGUGUGUCAAGUCAGGCGUGAAAGCCCCGGGCUCAACCUGGGAACCGCGCUUGAGACUGGCACGCUGGAGUCCGGGAGAGGAUGGUGGAAUUCCCAGUGUAGAGGUGAAAUUCGUAGAUAUUGGGAAGAACACCGAUGGCGAAGGCAGCCAUCUGGACCGGCACUGACGCUGAGGCGCGAAAGCGUGGGGAGCAAACAGG
rnacentral:rRNA from 1 species